rnacentral:rRNA from 1 species
CCUACGGGGGGCUGCAGUGGGGAAUAUUGGACAAUGGGCGAAAGCCUGAUCCAGCCAUGCCGCGUGUGUGAAGAAGGCCUUCGGGUUGUAAAGCACUUUCAGUGGGGAAGAAAGCCUUGGGGCUAAUACCCUCGAGGAAGGACAUCACCCACAGAAGAAGCACCGGCUAACUCCGUGCCAGCAGCCGCGGUAAUACGGAGGGUGCGAGCGUUAAUCGGAAUUACUGGGCGUAAAGCGCGCGUAGGCGGUCUGAUAAGCCGGUUGUGAAAGCCCCGGGCUCAACCUGGGAACGGCAUCCGGAACUGUCAGGGUAGAGUGAAGGAGGGGAAGGGAGAAUUCCCGGGGUAGGGGUGAAUGCGUAGAGAUCGGGAGGAAUACCAGUGGCGAAGGCGGCCUUCUGGACUGACACUGACGCUGAGGUGCGAAAGCGUGGGUAGCAAACAGGAUUAGAUACCCUAGUAGUC